rnacentral:rRNA from 1 species
GCGAGUGAAGCGGGAAAAGCUCAAAUUUAAAAUCUGGCGGUCUCUGAUCGUCCGAGUUGUAGUCUGGAGAAGCGUUUUCCGCGUUGGACCGUGUACAAGUUUCCUGGAACGGAGCGUCAUAGAGGGUGAGAAUCCCGUCUUUGACACGGACCCCAAUGCUUUGUGAUGCGCUCUCAAAGAGUCGAGUUGUUUGGGAAUGCAGCUCAAAAUGGGUGGUGAAUUCCAUCUAAAGCUAAAUAUUGGCGAGAGACCGAUAGCGAACAAGUACCGUGAGGGAAAGAUGAAAAGCACUUUGGAAAGAGAGUUAAACAGUACGUGAAAUUGUUGAAAGGGAAACGCUUGAAGUCAGUCGCGUUGGCCGGGACUCAGCCUUGCAUCAGCAUGGUGUACUUUCCGGUCGACGGGCCAGCAUCAGUUUCGACCGCGAGAUAAAGGCAGAGGGAAUGUGGCUCUUUCGGGAGUGUUAUAGCCCUUCGUCGGAUGUCGUGGUUGGGACUGAGGAACUCAGCACGCCUUUAUGGCCGGGGUUCGCCCACGUACGUGCUUAGGAUGCUGGCGUAAUGGCUUUAAACGACCCGUCUUGAAACACGGACCAAGGAGUCUAACAUGCCUGCGAGUGUUCGGGUGGAAAACCCGUGCGCGUAAUGAAAGUGAAAGUUGGGAUCCCUGUCGUGGGGUGCACCGACGCCCGGACCAGACCUUUUGUGACGGAUCUGCGGUAGAGCAUGUAUGUUGGGACCCGAAAGAUGGUGAACUAUGCCUGAAUAGGGUGAAGCCAGAGGAAACUCUGGUGGAGGCUCGUAGCGAUUCUGACGUGCAA